rnacentral:tRNA from 2 species
GCCUCGUUAGCUCAGUUGGUAGAGCAGCUGACUCUUAAUCAGCGGGUCGCAGGUUCGAAUCCUGCACGGGGCA